AUACCUAGCUGGCAGGAGAGAUACCAUGAUUUUAAAGGCGGGUUUCCGGGGCGAGGCUUAUUCAUUCCGCUCCAGAUGUGCUGACCCCUGCGAUUUCCUCAAAUGUGGGAAACUUGACUGCAGAAUUUGUGAUCAUGGGGAACAAAUGUGGUUCCCUAU